CGUUGUAUAAUAGAAAAUCGAAUAAUUUAACUAGAAAAAAUUCUCGAUCGCUUCACAAUAUACGACAUAUCGAGGAUAGUAGUAAGUAAUACCUGAUAAUUACACAUUGGACAUCAAAAUAUAAACAUACUAAUUAAUUUUUUAGGUUGAAUUACGUAAAUAGCUUAAGACAAAGAAAAAGAGAUCUCUGUUGGUGUUUGUUGUUCAGUUCGUCAAGGCGAGCUUCUUUUUUACGGAAUUUAUUCUUUCAGCACACACGUAUUUAAACUGCAUCAUUCAUACAAUAAAGUCUCAACAAGUUUUUGUUUAACUUCGUACUUUACAUUAUCAUCAUUCGUUUCUUCAUUACUAUUAUUUUUUUCCACAUGUUGAAGCAACAAAACGGGUUUGCCGAAUGAAAAUAAGAUUAAGAGGAUAAAAUAAUUAUUCCCGACGAUCCAAUUCACUUCAAGGUAGUUUUCGAGGUCCCGCAAAUUCUUAGAAAGGAUUGACGGAAAUUUACAUACUUAAAACUAUCAUUGAUUAGAAUAUCUGCACGAAAACGGCCUUCGGAAACAGAUUUUCUAUCUGCAAAUCAAUUAUUAAUCAGUAUUAGACUCUUCUCUUACAACUGAGGAUGUAUCUUCUUUUGCGCAACUACUUGGUAAGCAAGGACAGGUCAGGUCAGGGGCUAGUAUCCUUGGGUACGGUCCAAAGUCACUCAAACAAGUUUGCAAGUUUUAUUUCUCGUACGCGAAUGGGGGAGUCCCAAGAACGACCGUGUCUCCAAUCUACCAGGACCAGUAUCAGUUUUUUUUAUUUGUUUCUUCUUCAUGCCCACUCUUUAUCAUAUAUACUCCGUACGUUCUCCAAAAAAUUUACAAUAUUUUAUUCAUUUGAUUUAUGCUAAUACAUUUUAAAAUAAAAUAUCUUUCUCUAUUUGAUAAAUUUAUUUUAGUAUUGAAUUUUUUUAUUUAAUUACCGCUUAGUCAUUUUUGUGCGAUGUUGCAAGCGCUAAAACUUUCUCUUGAUGAUGCUUCAGAUUACUUUAAAAAAGACUCAAUAUCUCGGGUGUUUUGAUAAAAGUUUAAAA